AAUCAAUCAAUCAAUCAAAUUUAUUUAUAAAGCACUUUAAAAAGCCACCAACGUUGCACAAGGUGCUGUACAGAACAAAGUAGAAAUCAUGUAAAACAUUUACAACAUCUAACAUUUAAAACAUAAAACAGUAUCACAGUAAAAAUUGUUGCACAAAAAUGUCAGCCUCAGCUGGGAAAGGCCAAGGAAAAAAGGUGGGUUUUAAGAAGAGAUUUAAAAUUAGACAGUGAAGAAGCCUGUCUAAUAGGCAGAGGUAGGUCAUUCCAUAUUUUUGGAGCUGCCACAGGCACGAUCCCCUUUAAGUUUCCACUUCGUUUUAGGGACACUCAGGCGCAGUUGUUCAGCUGAUCUGAGUGAGCGGGUCGGAGUGUAGGGGUGAAGCAACUCGGACAGGUAGGAUGGGGCAAGACCAUUUAUAGAUUUAAACACAAGUAAAUACAUUUUAAAAUGGAUCCUAAAAUAUACGGGCAGCCACUUGUAAGUAUCAUCAUAAUAA